rnacentral:rRNA from 1 species
AUGAAUGGAUUUGUGCUCAGUUUUAAUGUAUCUGUCCAAAGCACAAGAGGUGGUCUUGGGUUCUGUGAUAUGCACAGUUUUAAUAUAGCAAUGUUGUUAAGGCAGAUUUGGAAGCUAAUUCAAAACCCAGAUACAUUGUGUGCAAGGAUUCUUAAGGUGUGGUAUUAUCCCAAUGGGCAUGUGCUAGAUGCACAACCAAAGGAAGGAAUCUCUUAUUCAUGGAGUAGUUUGCUUCACGGGCAGAAGUUGAUUCACGAAGGAUACAUGUGGAGAAUCGGAGAUGGAACGAAUGUGAAAAUUUGGACUGAUCCAUGGCUUCCGUGCCCCUGGUCUCGUCAAGUUAUUAUGCCAAGGGGAGAAAACCUUCUCGAGUGGGUCAGUGAUCUUAUUGAUCCUGCUACUGUUGAUUGGGAUGUGAGGUUGGUGGAAGAGACCUUCUGGACUGACGAUGCUACACACAUUCUCCAAAUACCAUUGUGA